rnacentral:rRNA from 1 species
GAUGAACGCUGGCGGCGUGCCUAAUACAUGCAAGUCGAGCGAACAGAUGAGGAGCUUGCUCCUCUGACGUUAGCGGCGGACGGGUGAGUAACACGUGGAUAACCUACCUAUAAGACUGGGAUAACUUCGGGAAGCCGGGGCUAAUACCGGAUAAUAUAUUGAACCGCAUGGUUCAAUAGUGAAAGACGGUUUUGCUGUCACUUAUAGAUGGAUCCGCGCCGCAUUAGCUAGUUGGUAAGGUAACGGCUUACCAAGGCAACGAUGCGUAGCCGACCUGAGAGGUUGAGCGGCACCCGAGGAUCUGAAACCGGUCCCAGCCUCCAGGGGAGGCAAAGAUGAGGAAUUCUCCACAAUGGGCAGAAGCCUGGCGGGAGCACCCCGGGGGAGGGGUAGAGGUUCUGGGGUUGGAAAACCGUUUUUAUUGGGAAAGAAAAAGUUUUAAGAAACCAGGACCCGUUUGGCGGGUCCCAAAAAAGAAAGCCCCGGCUAACUCCGG